rnacentral:rRNA from 1 species
UAGGGAAUCUUCGGCAAUGGGGGGAACCCUGACCGAGCAACGCCGCGUGAGUGAAGAAGGUUUUCGGAUCGUAAAGCUCUGUUGUUAAGGAAGAACGAGUGUGAGAAUGGAAAGUUCAUGCUGUGACGGUACUUAACCAGAAAGGGACGGCUAACUACGUGCCAGCAGCCGCGGUAAUACGUAGGUCCCGAGCGUUGUACGGAUUUAUUGGGCGUAAAGCGAGCGCAGGCGGUUAGAAAAGUCUGAAGUGAAAGGCAGUGGCUCAACCAUUGUAGGCUUUGGAAACUGUUUAACUUGGGUGCAGAAGGGGAGAGUGGAAUUCCAUGUGUAGCGGUGAAAUGCGUAGAUAUAUGGAGGAACACCGGUGACGAAAGCGGCUCUCUGGUCUGUAACUGACGCUGAGGAUCGAAAGCGUGGGGAGCGAACAGG